rnacentral:piRNA from 1 species
ACUGAAAGACUCCUGGGUAGAACGUUUGGA